UAGGCAGGACGCAGUAUAGUGGAUGGCUUGGCUUGAGAGCUGAUGAAGGGCGCGGCAAGCUGCGAUAAGCUUGGGGUAGCUGCAUGCGAGCGUUGAUCCCAAGAUUCCCGAAUAGGACUUCCGACCAUGCUGAAAGCGUGGUACUCCUUUGGGAGAAGUAACGCGGGGAAUUGAAACAUCUUAGUACCCGCAGGAAGAGAAAUCAAUUGAGAUUCCGUUAGUAAAGGUGAUCGAAAGCGGAACAGGGCAAAACGAAUCUACCUUAGCGAUUUGGUAGAAAUGUGUGGUUUGGAGCUUGUCAAGCAACUCAGAUUUUAAGAUUAACUCCUCUGGAAAGAGGGACCUUAGAGGGUGAUAGUCCCGUUUUCGAACGAAAAUGAGUUGUGGCGAGUUUCCAGAGUAGCUGGAGUCGAAAUUCUUCAGUGAAUGCAGGAGGCAACAACUUCUAACCCUAAACACUCCUCAAGACCGAUAGCGCAUCAGUACCGUGAGGGAACGCUGAAAAGCACCUCUACUCGGGUGUGAAAAGAGCCUGAAUCUAUGCUGUUAUAGUAAGGCGCGGCCAUUAAGCGAACAUCAUAUCAGAUAUGAGUGGUGUUCUUGCGUGGUUGCGUCGUCCUGUUCGGAUACAGGGGCAGGGAGUUUGUGUCAGUGGCAAGACUAAAUUCUAUAAAGAAUGGAGUCGAAGCGAAAGCAACAAGCCCGCAGUUUACGAGGGGCGAGGUGCGAAUAGUGCCUGAAGUCACUGGUGCAAGACCCGAAACGAGUUGAUCUAUGCCUGGGCAAGGCGAAGCCCUCACUCAAUGGGGGUGGAGGCCUGAAGAGUAACUGUGUACAAGCGUUCUUCUGACCUGGGUAUAGGGGUGAAAAGCCAAUCGUAACUCGUGAUAGCUGGUUCCUCGCGAAAUUGGCUCCAGUCAAGUCUGCGGCGAGAUAACAUGAGGGGUAGAGCGACUGAUUUUGUAUGACAGGCGGCCUUGAGCUGUCGGUAUGGAGUCAAACUCCGAAUACUCAUGUGUUAUAGACCCGCGGAAACGGUGCAGGGGGGUAAGCUCCCAGCACGAGAGGGGAACAACCCAGACCUUGGUUAAGGUCCCAAAGCGAUUGUUAAGUGUAAAAGGUGGAAGCGUGUAUGCCGCCUAAAACAGCCGGGAAGUAGGCUUAGAAGCAGCCAUCUUCUAAGGAAAGCGUAACAGCUCACCGGUCUAGGUUUCACGCCGUGAAAAUGGACGGGACUAAACAAUCCACCGAUACCAAGGGGGCCUGAAUAAGGCAUCCAGUAGCGAGGCGUCCCGAGCGGGUGGAAGCACGGUUGUAAAAUCGUGUGGACCGCCCGGGAAUGAGAAUCCUGCCAAGAGUAGCAGCAGAACAGGGUGAGAAUCCCUGUCGCCGAAAGAGCAAGGGUUCCUCAGCACUGUUCGUCAGCUGAGGGUUAGUCGGUCCUAAGGUUCGCCUUAACUGGUAGUAACCGAAAGGGAAACAGGUUGAUAUUCCUGUACCACUAUUGUACGUGCGGCAACGCAAGACUCAUGGGUGAUGCUUCUGGAUAGGUCAAGCAAAACCGUCGUUUUGUCUAACAAGACCAAGCCUGAGAAGUCCCGUAAUGGGGUUCAUCAGGUUAAGCUUGGAAUGGCCCGAGUAUUCGGGUUUGGCUGAUUCCCGGAGUCCGUGAAAAACCGAUGAGUAAGGACCAAUAGUGACCGUACCGAGAACCGACACAGGUGUCUCUAGCUAAGAAAGCUAAGGCGUGUAGGGAGAACCCACGUUAGGGAAAUCGACAAAUUAGCCCCGUAACUUCGGGAUAAGGGGUCCCUGCGCUUGUUACCGCAUGGUUGCGAGUGCAGGGGGCACUGACAAGGCUGGCUGGACUGUUUAAUAAAAACAUAGUCGACUGCGAGCCCCAAAGGGUGUGUAUAGUCGAUGAGUCGUGGCCACUGCCAGCAUCUGAAAGCCCAGUUCAAUGGGUCUAAGGACUGGUGUAGGCCGGAGGUAUCCGUAACCUUCUUAAGGUAGCGUAAUUCCUUGUCAUUUAAAUGGUGACGUGCAUGAUGGAUUAACUAGGUUGGCAUUGUCCCAACGUGGGACCCUGUGAACAUUCUUUCCUGGUGUAAAGGCCAGGGACUUCCAGUGGGUCGCGAAGACCCCAGGAGCUUUACUGCAGUCUGUAGCUGUGGUGCGAGCGUUGUUGUGUAGGAUAGGUGGGAGAUGUAGAUGGAGGGCUGAAAGGUUUUCCGGAGUCAAUGGUGAAAUACCACCCUGCAAUGCUCGCACUGCUUAACCCUUAACCAAGGGGACAACUAUUGAUAGGCAGUUUGGCUGGGGCGGCACGCCCGUGAAAAAAUAUCACGGGUGUCCAAUGGUCAACUCAUCCGGGUCAGAACUCCGGAGUGGAAUACAAUGGUAAAAGUUGGCCUUACUGUAAAUUGCAAAAUGAGAUUUACAGUCUCGAAAGAGGGGCAUAGAGAUCCUCAGUGCUCUUUUGUUGAGAGCCUGAGCUGGCAAAAAAGUUACCCUGGGGAUAACAGGCUUGUCGUGCCCGAUAGCUCGUAUUGACGGCACGGCUUGGUACCUCGAUGUCGGCUCUUCCUAUCCUGGCUGUGCAUAAGCAGCCAAGGGUGCGGGUGUCCACCGAUUAAAAGGGAUCGUGAGCUGGGUUUAGAACGCCGUGAGGCAGUUCAGUUGUUAACUACUGGAAGUGUUGGAAGUCUGAGUGGAAGCAUUCAUUAGUACGAGAGGAACAUGAGUGCGUGGCCUCUGGUUUACCAGCUGUCCGACAGGGCAGCGCUGGGCAGCUACGCCGCAAGCGGAUAAGAGCUGAAAGCAUCUAAGCUCGAAGUCGCCCGCGAAAAGAGACUUCCUUUUGAGAGCUCCCAUAGAUGAUGGGUUUGAUAGGCUCGGGGUGUACGUGCGAAGGUAACGACGCAUUCAGCCUGCGAGUACUAAACGCUC
rnacentral:rRNA from 1 species